AGCAGAGCGGCGCAGUGGAAUCGUGCUGGGCCCAUAACCCAGAGGUCCGUUGGUCAAAACCACGCUCUGCUU